UUUUUUUCUUAAGGUUUAGCAAACACACAAGAAGAAAGCAGGAAAAAGAAAAUAAACUAGCAUGGAUAUUACAGUGAAAAAGUAUGAGCACCGACAUCUGGCAAUGAGUGUGUGUGAACAUAAAUGUAAUGUCAGUGAGAAAUACGUACUCCUCCAAGCUUAGACUUUCGGCCUAAGUUGGUCUAUGGCCACGGUUGGGCUAGCGGAUAUCCAUAAUAAUAGUUGUUGGGGUCGUACUGUGAUGAGGAAGAAUAGUUGGGAUCAUACUGUGAUGAAGAAGAAGACUCUGACUGCCACUGACUGACAGUCAUCUCUGGAUCCCAAGAAUAGACAGAUUGUCAUGGAGGUUCAUCUUGUGGUUCCUGUUCCGGGGCUGGUGCGGGAUUCUUGUAAGCUUGGACGGCAGCCCACGUAACAAGAUAGGGUCCUACAAAAUUAAACAAAGAAGGAGCAGGCAGGAUAAUAGUUUCAGGAUGAUGUUUGUUAAAAAAACAAUUGAUACUUAAGCUCUCCUGCCCUAUUCUUAACAAUAAAAUCAUGUGCCACCAUACUUUUAUGAUCUAAAUAAACACGGGGCAGCACAUUUUCUUCCUUCUCAGCAUGCCUAAUAGGUAUGUUAAAAUGUGCAGCUAGGCGUGUGGCAUAGACGCCUCCAAAGAUGGGACCCUUAGUAUGUUUCAUACUUAACCAUCUAGCAAUAAUACCGCCCAUACUAAAAGUGUUAUCACUGUAUAAACCGUGGUGCAGAAUAAUUAUAUCAGGGAUACUAAGGUUUCCACUGUUUCCGCGUCCAAUUAAACAACGACUAGCAAAUAAUGCAAAGUAGCGUAAAACAGGAAAAUGUAUGCUAGUGAUUCGUGCGUCGAAAACCUUUCUAGUUUCUCCUACAGUGAUAGUAUCAAUAAAUCCAGCCACAUCAUCAUGAUGUGAUUCUUUUGUCUUGCCCUCAAAAGGGAUUAAACAAAUCUGACAGAAAUCAUAAAGUGACAUCUCCUUAUGCUCAUCAUAUAAAUGAAACUCCACCGUAGGUGGUGAGUUCCUAGAAUGAAAAUGAAAGUUUUGCACAAAAGUAUUUGUGAGUAAGAGAUACUGAUCGCAUUGGUCAUGGAGGAAAGCGGUGAGGCCUGCAUUGUGAGCCAAUUCAUGAAAAUCUUCAUAGAUAUCGGCUGCUCUCAAGAAAUCUUCAGAAGGCCAUUCACACGCCCGAAUCUCCGCGGUGCGCGGCAAAUUAUACUUAGGCUUCGGUGCCUUUUCCUUCGAGUUUUGGCUCGAUGAGCCCCUCAAAAAUCUCCUCAUUAUUUUUCUGAAAUAAUCUGAAAUUUUUAGUAACUUCAAAAUAAAAGUAAACCAAACUCAAUAAUAUUGAUAGCAACUACUCCUACAAGUGCCUAGAGCAUAUAUCAAGCAUUAGAACUACUUAGAACCAUAUAAAUUUGACAUGCAAACUCAAGAACAUGGUCACCUAUGCAGCACAAAUUUGCAAAGAAUAAAGCACUAGAACAAAAACUAAUUGGACCAAUAGAGGAGUCACAUACCAAGGAACAAUCUCCCCAAGCAGUUUUGCGAGAGGUGCUUUGAGCAAGGAGAUCAAAAAUCACAGCAAAAGUGGCUGGAACUCGUGCUUGAGUUGGUUUUUCGGGUUUGUGUGAGAUAGAGGAAGAAGAUGGGUGCUGGGAUAAGUGGAGGAGGGCCACCGUGGGCCCACGAGGCAGGGGGCGUGCCCUAUAGGGGGGCGCGCCCACCACCCUCGUGGCCAGGUGGCAGCUCCUCCCGCGGUAAUUUUUGCACAGUAAAUCCUCAAAUAUUCCCCAAAAAUCAUAUUAAAUUGGCAUGUCAUUCUGAGGACUUUUAUUUUCGGGAUAUUUUUAUAUUGCACGGAUAAGUCAGGAAACAACAGAAAAAUACUAUUUUUACUUUAUUUAAUAUAAAUAACAGAAAGUAUAGAGAGGGUACAGAGGGUUGUGCUUCUAGUUUCAUCCAUCUCAUGCUCAUCAAAAAGAAUCCACUAACAAGGUUGAUCAAGUCUUGUUAACAAACUCAUUCCGAUAAUCAUGAAACCGGAGAAAUUUCGAAUAACACUAAGUUACCUCAACGGGGAUAUGCACAUCCCCAAUAGUAAGAAUAUCAUAUUUCUUCUUGACAGUAGGAAGAGGAAAUUCAAAACCUCCAAAUAUAAUCGAUGUAAUUUUUCCAAUAGAGUUGAUACUGUGAACUUGAGGUUGUUUCCUCGGAAAGUGUACCGUAUGCUCAUUACCAUUAACAUGAAAAGUGACAUUGCCUUUGUUGCAAUCAAUAACAGCCCUUGCAGUAUUAAGAAAAGGUCUUCCAAGAAUAAUAGACAUACUAUCAUCCUCGGGAAUAUCAAGUAUAACAAAGUCCGUUAAAAUAGUAACGUUCGCAACCACAAUAGGCACAUCCUCACAGAUACCGACAGGUAUAGCAGUUGAUCUAUCAGCCAUUUGCAAAGAUAUUUCAGUAGGUGUCAACUUAUUCAAGUCAAGUCUACGAUAUAAAGAGAGAGGCAUAACACUAACACCGGCUCCAAGAUCACAUAAAGCAGUUUUAAUAUAAUUUCUUUUAAUGGAGCAAGGUAUAGUAGGUACUCCGGGGUCUCCGAGUUUCUUUGGUAUUCCACCCUUAAAAGUAUAAUUAGCAAGCAUGGUGGAAAUUUUAGUUUCCGGUAUUUUUCUUUUAUUGUUAAUGAUAUCCUUCAUAUAUUUAGCAUAAGGAUUUGUUUUGAGCACAUCAGUUAAUCGCAUACGCAAAAAGAUAGGCCUAAUCAUUUCAGCAAAACGCUCAAAAUCCUCAUCAUCCUUUUUCUUGGAUGGUUUCGGAGGAAAAGGCAUGAGUUUCUGAAUCCAAGGUUCCCUUUCUUUACCAUGCUUCCUAGCAACAAAGUCUCUUUUAUUAUAACAUUGAUUCUUUGAUUGUGGGUUAUCAAGAUCAACAGCAGGUUCAAUUUCUACAUCGUUAUCAUUACUAGGUUGAGCAUCAUCAUGAACAUCAUCAUUAAUAUUUUUACUAGGUUCAUGUUCAUUACCAGAUUGUGUUUCAGCAUCAGACAUAGAAAUAUCAUUUGGAUUAUCAGGUGGUUCAGCAAUAGGUUCACUAGAAGUUUGCACAGUUCUAUCAUUUUUCGUCUUCUUCUUUUUAGAAGAACUAGGAACAUUAAUAUUAUUUCUUUGAGAAUCUUGCUCGAUUCUCUUAGGGUGGCCUUCAGGAUACAAAGGUUCCUGAGUCAUUCUACCAGUUCUAGUAGCCACUCUAACAGAAUAAUCCUUUUUCUUACUAUUCAUUUCAUCAAGCACUUCUUUUUGAGCCUUAAGUACUUGUUCUACUUGAGUGGUAACCAUAGAAGCAUGUUUGCUAACAAGUUUAAGUUCACCUUUAAUAUCAUCCAUAUAAUCACCCAAGCAUCUAAUCAUAUAAGCAUUUUCUUUUAAUUGUCUACCAAAAUAAGCAUUGAAGUCGUCUUGCUUAAACAUAAAGUUAUCAAACUCAUCCAAGCACUGACUAGCAAUUUUAGUAGGAGGGACUUCAGCUUUAUCAUAUCUAUAGAGAGAAUUUACCAUUACUACCUAUGUCGGGAUAUCAGGAUCAGGAGGUUCUUUAGUAAAUAAAGAAUUAAGAUCAUAAGUUUCUUCAACAGGCGGUGAAUUAAGACCAUGUAUUUCUUCAAUAGGAGGAAAAUUCUUAACGUCUUCAGCUUUAAUACCUUUUUCUUUCAUAGAUUUCUUUGCCUCUUGCAUAUCUUCGGGACUGAGAAAUAGAACACCUCUCUUCUUCGGAGUUGGUUUAGGAAUAGGCUCAGUAAUUGGAGAAGGAGAUGGCUCAGGAGCUGGCUCAGGAGGUGCCCAAUUAUUUUCAUUCGUUAACAUAUUACUCAAUAGAAUUUCAGCUUCAUCCGGUGUUCUUUUCCUGAUAAGAGAACCGGCACAACUAUCCAGGUAAUCUAUGGAAGCAUCGGUUAGUCCAUUAUAAAAGAUAUCAAGUAUUUCAGGUUUCUUAAGAGGAUGAUCAGGCAAAGCAUUAAGUAACUUGAGAAGCCUCCCCCAAGCUUGUGGGAGACUCUCUUCUUUAAUUUGCACGAAGUUGUAUAUUUCCCUCAAAGCAGCUUGUUUCUUAUGAGCAGGGAAAUAUUUAGCAGAGAAGUAAUAAAUCAUAUCCUGGGGACUACGCACACAACCAGGAUCAAGAGAAUUAAACCAUAUCUUAGUAUCACCCUUUAAUGAGAACGGAAAUAUUUUGAGUAUAUAGAGGUAACGUGAUCUCUCAUCAUUAGUGAACAGGGUAGCUAUAUCAUUUAACUUAGUAAGAUGUGCCACAAUAGUUUCAGAUUCAUAGCCAUAAAACGGAUCAGAUUCAACCGAAGUAAUUAUAUCACGAUCAACAGAGAAUUCAUAGUCCUUAUCAGGAACACAUAUAGGUGAAGUAGCAAAAGCAGGGUCGGGUCUCAUUUUAUCUCUAAGUGAUUCUUUGUUCCAUUUAAUUAAUAACCUCUUAAGCUCAUAUCUAUCUUUGCAAGCUAAAAUAGUGGCAGAAGAUUCCAUAUCAAAAAGAUAGCCCUCAGGAAUAACAGGCAUAUUUUCAUCAUCACUAUCAUCAUCGUAUUCAGAUUCAAUAAUUUCUUUUUCUCUAGCCCUAGCAAUUUGUUCAUCAAGAAACUCACUAAGGGCACAGUAGUAUCAGGCAUAGAGGCAGUUUCAUCAUAAGUAUCAUGCAUAGCAGAAGUGGCAUCAUCAAUAACAUGCGACAUAUCAGAACAAAUAGCAGAAGCAGGUGUAGGUGUCGCAAACUUACUCAUAACAGAAGGUGAAUCAAGUGCAGAGCUAUAUGGCAGUUCCUUACCUCCCCUCGUAGUUGAGGGAUAGAUCUUGGUUUUUGGAUCUCUCAAGUUCUUCAUAGUGUCCAGCAGAUAUAAAUCCCAAGUGACUCAAAGAAUAGAGCUAUGCUCCCCGGCAACGGCGCCAGAAAUUAGUCUUGAUAACCCACAAGUAUAGGGGAUCGCAACAGCUUUCGAGGGUAGAGUAUUCAACCCAAAUUUAUUGAUUCGACACAAGGGGAGCCAAAGAAUAUUCUCAAGUAUUAGCAGCUGGGUUGUCAAUUCAACCACACCUGGAAACUUAGUAUCUGCAGCAAAGUGUUUAGUAGCAAAGUAAUAUGAUAGUGGUGGUAGCAGCAACAAAAGUAAAGACCGCAAAAGUAAUGUUUUUGGUAUUUUGUAGUGAUUGUAACAGUAGCAGCGGGAAAGUAAAUAAGCGAGAACCAGUAUAUGGAAAACUCGUAGGCACCGGAUUAGUGAUGGAUAAUUAUGCCGGAUGCGGUUCAUCAUGUAACAGUCAUAACAUAGGGUGACACAGAACUAGCUCCAAUUCAUCAAUGUAAUGUAGGCAUGUAUUCCAUAUAUAGUCAUACGUGCUUAUGGAAAAGAACUUGCAUGACAUCUUUUGUCCUACCCUCCCGUGGCAGCGGGGUCCUAUUGGAAACUAAGGGAUAUUAAGGCCUCCUUUUAAUAGAGAACUGGAACAAAGCAUUAGCACAUAGUGAAUACAUGAACUCCUCAAACUAUGGUCAUCACCGGGAGUGGUCCCGGUUAUUGUCACUUCGGGUUUGCCGGAUCAUAACACAUAGUAGGUGACUAUAGACUUGCAAGAUAGGAUCAAGAACUCACAUAUAUUCAUGAAAACAUAAUAGGUUCACAUCUAAAAUCAUGGCACUCGGGCCCUAGUGACAAGCAUUAAGCAUAGCAAAGUCAUAGCAACCUCAAUCUCAGAACAUAAUGGAUACUAGGGAUCAAACCCUAACAAAAUUAACUCGAUUACAUGAUAAAUCUCAUCCAACCCAUCACCGUCCAGCAAGCCUAUGAUGGAAUUACUCACGCACGGUGGUGAGCACCAUGAAAUUGGUGAUGAGGAUGGUUGAUGAUGACGACGGCGACGAAUCCCCCUCUCCUGAGCCCCGAACGGACUCCAGAUCAGCCCUCCCGAGAGGUUUUACGGCUUGGCAGCGGCUCCGUAUCGUAAAACGCAAUGAUUUCUUCUCUCUGGUUUUUUCUCUCCGAAAGCAAAUAUAUAGAGUUGGAGUUGGCGUCGGAGGGUUUCCAGGGGGCCCACGAGGUAGGGGCGCGCCCUAGGGGGGGCGCCCCCCACCCUCGUGAGAAGGGUCUGGGCCCCCUAGUCUUCAUCUUUGGUGAGGAUUUUUUAUUGUUUUUUCUAAGAUGUUCCGUGGAGUUUCAGGUCAUUCCGAGAAUAUUUGUUUUCUGCACAUAAAACAACACCAUGGUAAUUCUGCUGAAAACAGCGUCAGUCCAGGUUAGUUCCAUUCAAAUCAUACAAGUUAGAGUCCAAAACAAGGGCAAAAGUGUUUGGAAAAGUAGAUACGACGGAGAGUAUCACUAUUCUAAUUAUUUGAGUUCUUGUUCUAAAACAAAUUGUUAGAGUUCUUUACCGGUACUCCAUAUUAAAUAUAGACCAUCUAUUUGUGGUGAUCUAAUGGCUCACAUUGUGUGUUGUUUGGUACUUCACCGAAUAUGGUUUGAAGUUUUUUAGUUGAAAUAUGGUACCUCCGUGUAAAGAGCGGAAUUUAUAAUCUUUUUUUUGCGUGUGAAAAGAGUGUAUAUUGAUUAAGUAAUGAGUCUACACUCAGUUUUACAGAUCAUACAUAAAUCCUCUAGCCCAGAGCUAAACCAAAUGGCCGUACGCUAGGAACAACGCCCCAUAUGCGCCAUAUAGUGACCGGAAUGUAUAAUCUGGUAAGGGUAAAAGAAAUUCUGGACUCUUAGAGCAACUAUAACCAGACAUCACAAAUCUGAACCUCUAUACGUCCGCGGAUACAUCCAUGGACAGUGAUCGGUCACCCUUCAUCCACGGACAUUGCAAUCUUAGUCCUCAUUCCUUGAUCAUCAUAUCCAUACUAGUGCAUGCAGCGUAAAAUCCUAUCUAUGUGCAUAGUUAAAAACAAGGAAACUAGCUACUCAUCAUCGGAAAUGUUGAUGACGUCCUUGCCGAAGCCGCCGACCUUGUGGUCAUUGCCGGUGUGGUGAAACUCUGGUGCGUCCUCCUCAUCCACAAAGAGCCGCUCCCGCUCCAUUUCCAUCUCAAGGAGGAAGCGGCGGUUCGCCUCCAUCUCCGCCUCAGACUGGAAUGCUGGAUGGCCUUGAGGAUGGCAUGUUGCCCCGCCGCCUCAUAUGCUUGGGCGGCCUCAAACCCCACCAAUGUGUCCUCCAUGCCAAAUACGGCCUGCUCCGGCAUUGGAUCCGCCUCGGCCCGCUCCUCCUCUUCGUCCCACGGCUCCACCUCCUCCAUCUUCGCAUCCCACUACCUGCUCCUCCUUCAGAGAGUCAGAGGCACUGCAAUGCGAGCAGCGCAUCAUGUCUCCGUCUCUGCUAGGAUCGCCGCUCGGAGUUGCAGGGUGAGCAUCUUGUAGUAGGUAAUCUUUUUCCGGAACAUGGCUACCGGCGAAUGGCGAGGUUGAAGCUGAAUGUGUGGUCAGGGUUAGGGUGGCAGCGUGGACUGGAGGCGGAGGGAGGAGAUGGGGCGGCUAGGGUUGGGGCUCACCGUCCAGCUUAAAUAGCCAAGUUUGACCCUUUCUGCGGCGUGCUACAGCGGCGACAUGAAUGUGUACCGGUGGAGCUCCCGUCGAAACGAUGGGUUUUUGCGUGUUUCUGCAUGUGUUUCACCCAUCAGUCCGACAUGGCAGAUGUUGCCGCCAGAGCUUGGAUCAACUAACUCAGCGUCAACACACCACCGAAAGGUUAGGGAGGAAGGAUGUGCAAUGGUGGUCGGUAAGGAGAUGGGACGUGCGCGUGGUGCGUAUAAGCUAGGGGAUAUGAAGUUGUGAGCGCUCCCGUGACAGGACAGGUUAUGCACGGCCUAGAUCUGCAUGGUGAGGACCGUCGCUGCGAUGGUCACACGCUAAGACUGUUCCAUGUCAGUGACCGGUACUUCAAUGGCGACGACGGCAAUGUAGUGGAGGGCAUGGGCAAGGACCACGGUCCGUCGGCUUGGAUGAGUCGGCCAUCAUGACGUUAUUGUGAAACCAUGAGGGAGGUGGCCCAAGGGCACCCUGCAGUAGACUACCGCGGUGUGGUUGUGCGUUCCACGCCAAAUUCACGGUACUGAAGAGGAAACCUCCUAAAUAGCGCUCUCAGCGCCGGUUUAUGCUACUCACGCCUAAAGGAGACGCCUAGCGGGCUGCUACCUCUUGAGCAUGCAUUGGUUUUCUCUUGAAGAGGAAAGGAUGAUGCAGCAAAGUAGCGUAAGUAUUUCCCUCAGUUUUUGAGAACCAAGGUAUCAAUCCAGUAGGAGACAACGCACAAGUCACCUAGUACCUGCACAAACAAUCAAGAACCAUGCAAUCAACGUGAUAAAGGGGUUGUCAAUCCCUUCACGGUCACUCGCAAAAGUGAGAUCUGAUAGAGAUAAUAAAAUAAAUAUUUUUGGUAUUUUUGUUGUAUAGAUUGGAAAGUAAAGAUUGCAAAUAGUAAACGAGAUGCGAUGUAAAUAAAAGAGAUGCAAUAUAAUGAGAAAGAGACCCGGUGGCCGUAGGUUUCAUUAGUGGCUUCUCUCAAGAUAGCGUAUAUUAUGGUGGGUGAACAUAUUACUGCCGAGCAAUUGAUAGAAAAACGCAUAGUUAUGAGAAUAUCUAGGCAAUGAUUACGAAUAUAGGCAUCACGUCCGUGUCAAGUAGAUUGAAACGAUUCUGCAUCUACUACUAUUACUCCACACAUCGACCGCUAUCCAGCAUGCAUCUAGAGUAUUAAGUUCAUAAGAACAGAGUAACGCUUUAAGAAAGAUGACAUGAUGUAGAGGGAUAAACUCAAGCAAUAUUAUAUAAAGCCCAUCUUUUCAUCCUCGAUGGAAACAAUACAAUAUGUGCCUUGCUUCCCCUACUGUCACUGGGAAAGGACACCGCAAGAUUGAACCCAAAGCUAAGCACUUCUCCCAUUACAAGAAAGUUCAAUCUAGUAGGCCAAACUAAACCGAUAAUUCGAAGAGACUUUCAAAGAUAUCAAAUCAUGCAUAUAAUAAUUCAGAGAAGAACCAAAUAAUAUUCAUAAAUAAUCUUGUUCAUAAGCCCACAAUUCAUUGGAUUUCGGCAAACACACCGCAAAAGAGUAUUACAUCGAAUAGAUCUCCAAGAACAUCGAGGAGAACUUUGUAUUGAGAAUCAAAGAGAGAGAAGAAGCCAUCUAGCUAAUAACUAUGGACCCGAAGGUCUGUGAUAAACUACUCACGCUUCAUCGGAGAGGCUAUGGUGUUGAUUUAGAAGCCCUCCAUGAUCGAUUCCUCCACCGGCGGAUCACCGGAAAAGGCCCCAAGAUGGGAUCUCACGGGUACAGAAGGUUGCGGUGGUGGAAAAGUGGUUUCGUGGCUCUCUGCGAUCAAUCUAGGGUAUAAGAGUAUAUAUAGGCGAAAGAAAUACAUUGGUGGAGCUACGUGGGGCCCACGAGCGUGGGGGCAUACCUACCCCCCUGGGCGCACCCUCCUGCCUCGUGGCCGCCUCACGGAGUUCCAGACUUUAACUCGAAGUCUUCUGGUUUGCUUUCGGUCCAAGAAAGUUCAUCGCAAAGGUUUCAUUUCGUUUGGUGUUCCUUUUCUGCGAAAUUCUAAAAUAGGCAAAAAAACAUAAACUGGCACUGGGCCUCCGGUUAAUAGGUUAGUCCCAAAAAUAAUAUAAAAGAGCGUAUUAAAGCCCACUAAACAUACAAAACAGAUAAUAUAAUAGCAUGGAACAAUCAAAAAUUAUAGAUACGUUGGAGACGUAUCACGGGCCGGCCCAACAAACCUUCGCUCAAUCGAACGCGGCCUCAGGCGAAGCAGUCGUUUUGUCGUUUGCUAUAGUUUUUUCUUUUGUUUGAUUUUUCUGCUCGUUGCUCUUUUAUAGUACUUAAAAAUAUGAAAAACAUAAAAAAGGUUAUGAAGUAGAAAAUUUGAAAUAAAAUCAUGUAUUGAAAAAAUGUUUGCAAAUUUGAGAAAAGAUCAAUAAUUAAAUGUUCAUGAUUUGAAAAAAUGUUUGCAAGUUUGAGAAACAUUCAAUAAUUAAAAGUUUGUGAGUUUGAAAAAAAGGUUCAGGAAUUUCAAAAAACAAAUUCACCAAUUUGAAAAAGUCAAGAAUUUCAAAAAUUUCACCCCUCGGACUAGUUCUUAAUUUGAUAAAAGUGCACAAAAAUGAAAAAAAUCAUGAAUUCAGAAAAAUGUUCACAAAAGAUUUGGAAAAAUAAGUCCCGAAGGAAAAAACUCAUUCUUUUCUUUGAUUCAAAGAAUUCUCAAAAAAUUGGUCAUUUGAUUUGAAGGAUUAAAUUCUUAAAAAAUAUGGUUUGAGACAUAAAUCUGCCCAAAUUACACAAGAGGGGACAAAACCUCUUGAACAGAAAGUAUAAAGAUUUUUGCAAACCAAAUCUCGAAAAAAGAGGUAUGUUCAUCUUACAUGUCACUUGAAAAAGAACAAGUGUGAUAUGGGCGAAUGAACAUGCUUCCCGAGAAAAGGUGAAAAAGAAUAACAUUCAAAUAUUUAUGGAAGUGAGGACCCCUGACUAUUUGCUUUGUUGAAAAAUGAAUAGCCUAUUGCAUGGAUUUGUGGCACGUUCGCUAAUGAACUAAGUAGAAAGGUGUGGAAGCCUUUGUGAUCAUCGUAAUGGUAAAAACUAUGAUAAUGUCUGUCACACGAUCAUUUAUCUUAUGUGAGUUCCAAUUACUUGUGAUGGACUCGUGCCUCUACAUUUAUCCGCACUUCAUAAACUCGAUGGCCUUAUUCUUACAAGUUGUGGUACUUUCUCAGGGACGAGCAAGAGUUCAACUUGGGGGAGUUGAUGAGUACAAAUUUAUGUUAUUUUCACCUUUAGUUUUGCAUCGUAAUUGUAGGGUUUGUCAGACUUUACCACAUCCAUGUACCUCUUUUAUCUGUUUUCGCCAGGAUUACGCCUACGAAGGUAUUUUCAAGCAUAAGGAAUGAACUCCAAGAUAAGGUGUUAAAAAUACGUUAAUUUGCGUGACAAAGUACUUCCGUAAAAGAGAGAGAGAAGUAGAAGGCAAGACAAAGAAAUGCAAUAUAAAAAAAAACUAAAUUAAGCAACUAGGAUCUUCCAUCAUAAGAAAGCAAUGUGGAACAUCCUAUCAACCUUCUCUCAAUCCUUUGUAAAUUGGUGAAAAUAUCUAGCUUGGGCGUGGAAGUAUUGAGAGGAAGACCCUGAGUGAAGUUGAAUGCACCUUGCUUACAUUCCAAAACAUCGAUCGUACUUUGAAUUAUUUUUUCCCAGGCACAUUUAGGUACCAUCACAGAUAUGGAAUAGUUAAUAGCCAGGUCAGUUUGAUUAGCAAAGUGUCUUAACAAAUCCUUAAUCUAACGCAAUUGAGCUUCAAAAAAGGAAGGUGAUCUGGCUUUCUCUCAACAUGUUAUGCCAAGCUUCAAUUUUACUCUUGUGCUAGCCUAUACUUCACCCAAAUCUCACUCAGCACGAAGGGGCACUUGAGUCCAUGAACCAUUCAAUGUGUCACUGAGGAGGCAAUAGUUGUGGUAGCACUGGUGUACGUACAGCUCAUCUUGCCAACCACGCGCCUCGCAUAGACACUGUAUGGAAGAUGCUCGACAAAUUUUGUCUAGGCACCCCCAUGUGUGUGUGCUUCCUAUGUGUGUGUCCUGCAGUUCGAUCCUCCAGUCAUUGUGUUAAGCUCAAGUUGUGACUUGUGAUACUUCAGCGUGAAAAGCAUGUGCUUCACAUUCUGUGGUCUUAUUUGUAUGCUUAAUUAGUUUUUUCUAUGAUAUCGUCUUGUUUGGGAGACUAGUUAACGCCUUCACAUUUUAAGAGGUGGAACCACUAUGUCUCAAUGUGCAAUGUAGGUUGAGUUUCCUUCAAAAAUGAAAUGCAGGUAGAAUUUUUCAUUUCCCUAUGCUUGUUGAUAUCACUACAAACCGAAGAAAAAUUAACAUGUUUUUGCAGGGGUCUUUCAUCUUUACAAACUGUCAAGAGUCGGUUCUAGCUUCGUUGAACUUGUUGUAAAGUUAAUAAUAUGAAUGGAUUUGUAGUUGAUUGUCUUGUCCUUGAUCUGGGAAAUUAAGGUGGCUUAUAAAUUAGUUCGAGUAAAGUUGUCUUGGGAUCUUUCCAGUAGGUUGAGAUAAUCACCUGUUCUAGAUAUCGCAAAUCACAACUCAACUCUAGGGCAUGAUCAAACAUAUAGUUGAAUUUAUACCUAUACAUAAAUGUGUUUUACAAGCAAAAAAACUAACAGCUAACUAAUCCACUUUAUAUUCAAGUCCCCUGAUCCACAUGCAAACCAAAAAACAUGAGUGAGCUGAAGAAAUCAACAAUGUCGUUGGUAAUGUAAUGGCGUAACAACUGAAAUUUUGAGCCUCUCUAAUGAUAGAAUAUUUCGUUGUACUGAUAAUUCCAACUGAGUGAUCAAUAUAUUUCCUAGUGCCUCCAACUCCUAUAUCAUUGUAAGGUUCAUGAAGCUUAUAUAGCUCAGACAUCUCAUAUACACAACCAGUCGAGCAACUCUGCCUUGCAACACUCUUUAUCCUUUUGAGUGGUGAAGGAGGAUAUCUGCUUCGACACAUUCUAGAGUUUCUUCAACUCAAUAGCACUACUCAUAGUGCCCCUUUUAUCGCGAAGAAUGGAAGGGUGUGCAAUUACUACCAACUACUUUGUGGGGGCACAAGGGCUCCAACUUACUAUAGCUCUAAUCAGUGUGAAGAUAUCCUAGUUUUACUAUUUAAUAUUGAAAAUUGUUACAUGUUGUAUGGGUGCGAUAAGAACCAAAGACCAUGCAUGGUGCCCAUAUACCUUUCACAACUAUUGUUGUUACAUAUAUGUAACAUCUGACUAAAACACGAUUUAUAUGCGAGUUACACAAAAAUUUAACAUACAGAUAAGAAUAAUUCCUAAUAAAAUUUGGUGUUAUGGAGUAGACAUCUAUAUGUGCUUUUUUUUCUUAAACUUAAAAAUGCACUUCAUUUCCUUUCUUUCAUUUUUAAACCAAACUCAAAGGAACCAUUCAAGGUUUCCACACAGUAUCAUGAUAUAUCAGUGUCAUCAUUUUAGAGAGUGGAUUUGACAAGCACACACGAUUUAAACCCUUACUAUUAAUAAGAAAAUAUACUAGUUAUUGUGAUAGGAAAUAUAUUUAGCCUUCAUAGAGUCGGGUAAGUUACAUAAUACAUGCUUGAGGAGAUUAAAUUAGUAAAUAUAGAAAUGAAGAUAUCGACAAGCAUUUCAUGUUGCCAUGUAUUAUAUUUUCUUGUCGUUGAUAUAUAGUGUGAGUACAAACCUACUGACCAGUCCCGGAAAGUAACAAGACAAUAGAAUAUUAGUAUAACAUAUUUGGUAAACCAUACAUAUUGUAAUUAUAAUAUCAUGAAUUUAUUGGAAAAUGUAUAUUAUUUUUGCCACACGGUAAGCAAUAUUCAUUGUUGCAUGUCAUUAGUUGCAAUGAUUUAAAAUUGUAUUGUGAUUCUUUUUUUAAUGUCCAUUUCUAAAAAAUAUCCGCGCAACAAAUAUUUAUAGUAUCUGAAAAUAAGUUAGCUUGUGCGCCCAGGGGUUGACCUUUUAGAUAGAUGUAUAUAUGUUGAUCUUCUAUUAAAUUUUGUUGCAUGCAAUAUUUGAUAGAAAUUAAAAUAGAGGAAUAAUUAGAAUACAAUUGCAACAAAUAGCAUACAACAAGGCAUAUUGGUUACCAUGUGAUUGAAAGGAUUUAUUUUCAGUAAAGUCUUUUGAUUAUAAUAUAGGUUUUACCAACUAUGUAAAGUUAAUAUUGAAUUUCUUGUUAUAUUUUUUGGAUCUGGUUGGUAGAUCUGUACUCACACUAAAUGAAAGGAAAAUAUAGGAUACAACAACUUGGCAUAUUCACAUCUUCCUUUGUAUGUCUACAAAGUCAGGCUCGGAAAACAUAGUACAUGAGAAUAUUCAUCUUUGUGUGAUUACCAAUUUGGCCUUGGGGAGGCCUAACUUAAGGGAAAACAACUAGGUAAUAAGUGUAUUUCCAUCAGAGAAAAUGUACUAUCUUCUUUUAUUAAUAAUGUGAGUCAAAAGUGUGUGUGCUUUCCGAAACCACUCUAAAACCCAGUGAAACUAACAUAUUGUGAUAUUGUGAGGAAACCCUAAAUGUCUCCUUUGAACUCGCUUAAAAAAAGAGCAAUUUUAACAUGGUCCUCUUACCUCCUCUUUUCAUAUAGGAGGUAAGAAGGUAAGAGUUACUCAGACUCACUACCUAAUGAAAUCAACAGCUCGAAUCUAUUAUAUACUCUUACCUCUCAUGUGAAAAGGGAAGGUAAGAGCAACCAUGUUAAAACUGCUGAAAAAAAGAUGAAAGUGAAUUCCGAAUUUUCAGAAAAAAUAUGAACAUGUAGAUGUCUACUCCGUAACUUUAAAACUUUACUAUGUAAUCAUUUUAUUUUUAUGUUAACAUAACGCUAAAUGAGUGCACAUUUCUUAUUACUACUAUUUGUUAUCUUAGAUCCACACAUUAGUCUUUUAGUGUAACCUACAAAUAAAAAUGCAUGGUCCAAUGUUAGUGUGGGCAUUUAAUGUAAGAAAAAAAAAACAGGAUUUGCUCAAAUUUAAAGGAGGGUUUUUGUUUUUGAAAUUGUUUAUUAUUUGUAGCUUAGGAGCAAAAGGUUUCCACUCAAUAUAUAUGGGGAUACAAAAUCCUUUUGAGCGGGUUUUCCUGUUUCUCCCUACUAGCCACCAUCCUUGUAUGUCGGUGAUUAGGUACAUAUCUUUAGGUGGUACGAUAGAAUCGGGUAGUCCACCAUUAUUGUAAAACUAUCUUUGGUAAUAGCAAAAUUCCUGAUGUAGUGUGCCCGUCCUUAGCCCUGCGAGUUCUUACUCGGCCGCAGCAGCGUGUAGGAUUCGAGAGCCCUUAGGCUUUUUUCCGAUUGAUUUGGACCAGGUACACCCGCAAGGUACCCUCCUUCGACUAGGGAAUCAUUACUCAUCGACAAUAGGUUAUCAGUUAUAUAUGCAUUGGCUAUGUACCUUGGUUCUUACUUCAGUACCACUUGUCCCUAGCUUCACUGGUCGAAGCACAUGGAGUUAUUUAUAGCGAUGUGUAUCAAAGUGGAGUUAGUUACUAAGGACAUUUUUUACUCAACAUGAAUGGCGGUUAGGUCUUUGGGUCGGCCAUUAAUCACCCUAGACAAUGUUUUGUUUUGUCAAACUAUGUCAUUUUAUUUCAAGAUGAGGUGUUUUGUUUGUAAAUAUUGUGUUCAUCACGUUAUGUAGAGAGCGGUGUGAAAUCUUUGCAAUUGUAUCACCUUGAUAUGAUUAGUGAACAAAAAAAAUCACUUAUCGACACAAAAGCUCAAGAUGAUGGGAAAAUGUGGCAAUGCGCUUGUACUUUAAUGCAUUGUCCAAAAGAUUUUAUGUAUAGUUUAACUGGCCUUUUACAAUGUCAACGGAGAUUAAAUUUUCUCAACUCAUGCAUGAUUAAUGACCGGAUGAAUCUGAAGUUCAUUGUGGCAUAUCAUGUAUUAUACUAAAGGGGAUGUGCGUCUUCGUCUGUUUCUUCUGUCGUGGCACGGACAUAUGAUAAGGGAAGGAGGAGGAGGGGUGCGCCUUGCCGCCCCGCCCCGCCCCUAAUUGCAAUGGAUUGAUUAUCGGCAUGUACAAAUAAAUAGAUCAGAAGCAGUAUUCAAUCAUGGCAAGUUUUGGUAACACAAAUCUAGGAAACCAGGGACUCGUCCAUGGCUCCAUUUUAACAAGAGCCCACCAAGCUUCAAGCCCAAUGUCUGAGUGGCCACAUGAAGGGCUGCGAGAAAACAUAGCAGAGCGGCGUGUUGUGACUGCCGAGCUUGUGCGUAUCAAAGCACUGCAUGGGAGAUAGGGAAAGGAAGAGCAUGUGGGCUAGGCUGUGUCUCUGUGGCAUUUUUUCCCGGUACCUCCAACUCCUAUGUUUGUACGUACCAACAAAGAGUAGCAGCUUCAUACCAAAAGCAAAAAAGAAAAGAAAAAGGCUCUUUGAAGAAAUGCAUCGGCUUCUCUGUUGGUUUGUACCAAGGAUGUCGAGCUCGCACACACCACUGCCACUCCAGUAGUCUUAUCUUUUGAGUGGGUAAGCAGGAGAUGUGCUUGGACACAUUUUAGAAUGUAUAUGUUGAACUUCAUAGCACAAGCCCAGCCCAUGGUAUAUCUUCUUACACGCCGAGUGAUGGAAGGCUACAAUGAUUUCCAGCUGCCUCUGGGGGCAAAAGGGCUUCGAAUUUAUUGGCUCAAAUCAAUUCGAUUCGAUGAUAUCCUGCAGUGCAAGAGCUGCAUCAUGGCAGCAUCCGACAGCAUUAGGUCUCGCCUGCUUACCAUCAAGGUGACCAUCUACUACGCCGCACGUACAGGUCUCGCCCACCUUCGCGUCCUAUUAAUGUCCAUCACUACGACGGCCGGUACCGGAAGCUGUGGAAGAUACGCUUGCUUAGAUGCCGGGCUUGGCUAGCGCCGGGGCAAGCACCCGGUUGCCUAUCGUCGUCGACGGCAGCCGCCAUUCCCUCUCCUUGAAUCUUCUCCGUUGCGUCAAUCCUACCUCUUCUUCAUGCAGAAAUGCUCUUGGACUUCGAGAUGGAUGGGUGGAGAAUAUGAACGUGUUGGACUGGUUGAAUGAGGUUUAUCUGAAGAACGGCCAUGGCUCGUGAUCUUGAGAAAGAAUGUUUUCGCUUUACCCAGGGCAAAGGUGCUGCGACUUCUUGGUAAGAGUCUAGGGUUUUUAGGCUGCCAUUCUUUGGCGUUGAGUGCGCGGCAAUGGUUCCAUCCCCUGGUAACAGGAGAGCUGCACGAACUGCUGGUCAUGGCCAUUCAUAUGACUCAGGGAACCAAGCUGCUUCAGCUGCCCAACUUGAAGUUCCUACACGACCUGGAAGAACAGACAGACUAACCAUCUGUCUACAGGUAGACGGAAGCAAAGUAAUCGAAGGCAAAGCUCUGCAUAUCAAUGGAGCUGCAAACUCAAACAGAUAUAAUGACGACACAGUAAAAACUCAGCCAGAUUCAGCAUACAUAAGAAUCAUUCUUCUUGCAACAGUUGGAAACAGAAGAUUUCAUGUUCCAUGCUUUUAACCCGACCGACGACUCAGCACAACUCAUGUUCCAUGCUUUAACCCGACCGACGACUCGCGCAGCUCCUCAUGCUACCAAGGUAGCACGAGGCGACGCAACGACUGACGACGACUCGCGCAGCUCAUCAUGCUACCAAGAUAGCAUGAGACGACGCAAACAGACUAGAGAGUAGCAGAAGAGAUGAAAUAAGGUGCCAGGUAACAUAAACCUCCUACGGUAACGGCGGACAGACAAGGUUACAACCAACAACACAUUGUAUAUAAGUCAACUACUGCUUCAAUGAAAUCUCCAAUGAAGAAUCAAUGCAACGAUCGAUCUGCUACGAAAGAAUGGGACAAAGGCACGCACCCUCCCCGGAAAGAGAAGGCAGUGACAGCUUCCGUCGCGCUUAAUGCCAGAGGUUCAUGCAGAAGCCAGAGGGGACUGAAGGCGGCUUCUUGCUGUAGAUCGCCUCCGAGAAG
rnacentral:lncRNA from 1 species